CUGUAAAUGAGAAUAUACAUCGGUCAACGUGACUUCUAUUCAACAUCUAUGGUCGCAAUCCCAAGGUUCAUUGCGAUCCCAAGGUCCACUGCGGUUUUCCACGCGAUGCAGAACCUUUAGACACUGGAUUAAUGUUCUGGAUUAAGUCCAAUGUAUUUAUUGGAAAACAGUAGAAAAAUCUGCAAAUAAGUGGGUUGCAGACAUAAUUACUCAUCUGUCUUCCAUACAUGUAGCAAAAGAAUGCAGAGGCCAUAUGAAUUCAUCUUGACUAAGGAACUCUUCACAGCACUGCAUCUGAACAGUCACAACCUCACAGAGCAGCACAACCACCUCACUCAGGAUCAGUGUUAUGGUGCCAUUUUGAAGCUGGAACCUCAUCUUGUGUACAGAAAAAGUAGAGUUGAAAAUUCACUGGUUGUCUUGUAUUGUGUGUGGCAAAACCUGGGAUAACACAUGGGAGCCUUCCAGGAAUUCCCGACACUUUACACCCAAGUCUCCUCAUGCCAACCGGUUUGCAAUAUGACAGUCUAGUCACCAUAAACACCUGGACUCGCCAAGCACACAUUGGUUCUCAGUGUUUUGUAAAAAUGUUGCUGUUCUUUAGUAAGUACUUGAAUAUGUUUUUGAAAAGUGUUAUAGCUUUUAGGUACUUUUGCUGUUAAGUUCAGAAAGUUGUCAUUAUAAACAUUUUUGUAUUUGUCAUGAACUUGACUUGCUGUUGUGAAAGUUUGUUAUAAUGGCAUUUCCAAAGGCAUCAUUUGAAAAGAUUUUUUGCAGUGCAGUUUUACUUGAGCUUCACAUACCAGAUGUAUGACAUGAAUAAAUAUCACAAAAUAAAUAAAUAUAAUAAUAAUAAUACAAAAUAUACAUUUCCUUCAAUUAUAAUUGUUUUUAACCAUUUGCAUAUAUAUGUAUGUAAUAAAAUAUUGCAAUAAAACUGUUAUAAAAUAUA